rnacentral:rRNA from 1 species
GAUGAACGCUUGCUACAGGCUUAACACAUGCAAGUCGAGGGGCAGCAUGGUCUUAGCUUGCUAAGGCCGAUGGCGACCGGCGCACGGGUGAGUAACACGUAUCCAACCUGCCGUCUACUCUUGGACAGCCUUCUGAAAGGAAGAUUAAUACAAGAUGGCAUCAUGAGUCCGCAUGUUCACAUGAUUAAAGGUAUUCCGGUAGACGAUGGGGAUGCGUUCCAUUAGAUAGUAGGCGGGGUAACGGCCCACCUAGUCUUCGAUGGAUAGGGGUUCUGAGAGGAAGGUCCCCCACAUUGGAACUGAGACACGGUCCAAACUCCUACGGGAGGCAGCAGUGAGGAAUAUUGGUCAAUGGGCGAGAGCCUGAACCAGCCAAGUAGCGUGAAGGAUGACUGCCCUAUGGGUUGUAAACUUCUUUUAUAAAGGAAUAAAGUCGGGUAUGGAUACCCGUUUGCAUGUACUUUAUGAAUAAGGAUCGGCUAACUCCGUGCCAGCAGCCGCGGUAAUACGGAGGAUCCGAGCGUUAUCCGGAUUUAUUGGGUUUAAAGGGAGCGUAGAUGGAUGUUUAAGUCAGUUGUGAAAGUUUGCGGCUCAACCGUAAAAUUGCAGUUGAUACUGGAUAUCUUGAGUGCAGUUGAGGCAGGCGGAAUUCGUGGUGUAGCGGUGAAAUGCUUAGAUAUCACGAAGAACUCCGAUUGCGAAGGCAGCCUGCUAAGCUGCAACUGACAUUGAGGCUCGAAAGUGUGGGUAUCAAACAGGAUUAGAUACCCUGGUAGUCCACACGGUAAACGAUGAAUACUCGCUGUUUGCGAUAUACAGCAAGCGGCCAAGCGAAAGCGUUAAGUAUUCCACCUGGGGAGUACGCCGGCAACGGUGAAACUCAAAGGAAUUGACGGGGGCCCGCACAAGCGGAGGAACAUGUGGUUUAAUUCGAUGAUACGCGAGGAACCUUACCCGGGCUUAAAUUGCAGAUGAAUUACGGUGAAAGCCGUAAGCCGCAAGGCAUCUGUGAAGGUGCUGCAUGGUUGUCGUCAGCUCGUGCCGUGAGGUGUCGGCUUAAGUGCCAUAACGAGCGCAACCCUUGUUGUCAGUUACUAACAGGUUCCGCUGAGGACUCUGACAAGACUGCCAUCGUAAGAUGUGAGGAAGGUGGGGAUGACGUCAAAUCAGCACGGCCCUUACGUCCGGGGCUACACACGUGUUACAAUGGGGGGUACAGAGGGCCGCUACCACGCGAGUGGAUGCCAAUCCCCAAAACCUCUCUCAGUUCGGACUGGAGUCUGCAACCCGACUCCACGAAGCUGGAUUCGCUAGUAAUCGCGCAUCAGCCACGGCGCGGUGAAUACGUUCCCGGGCCUUGUACACACCGCCCGUCAAGCCAUGGGAGCCGGGGGUACCUGAAGUGCGUAACCGCGAGGAGCGCCCUAGGGUAAAACUGGUGACUGGGGCUAA